AGAGAGAGAGAGAGAGAGUUUUGGUGGAGUUUAAUUAUAUCCGCUUUACAAGGCCUGUAACACAUAUGCAAAAUUACCAUAUAAACAUUUGAAAUAGGUCCACCUUCUCUCUUAGACAUUCUCCUAUUGUUGUAGUCACUCCAACAUGAGUGCGAAAAGAAGUACAAAGAACCCAGAAGACCAUUUGGCCAUCGGCCAUCCUUGAACUGAAAUAUUCAACU
rnacentral:misc_RNA from 1 species